GCCUGAGUGGCUCAGUCAGUUAAGUGUCUGAUUUCCACUCAGGUCAUGAUCUCAUGGUUCAUGGGUUCAAGCCCCACAUCAGGCU
rnacentral:tRNA from 1 species